rnacentral:lncRNA from 1 species
GAUAUCUGAGAUGAGUAAGAACAGAGAGCACAGUAUAGUAUCUGAGAAAAGAAUAAUGUCUGAUUUUUUUAUUCAUCACUUUUUUUUUUUUUUUUCUUGGCAUCUUUCAGAUGGAAUGGAUAGAUUUCCUAGACCUACAGCUUACUCUCAACUGAAAUGUACCUGGUGUAGACAAUACAGAUCAACCACAGGAAAGACAUCUUCAGAAAAUAAUCUGAAAGUUAAGGGAAUAUCUUCAGGAGUAAAGCACAUGUCAGUGUUGUCAGAUGUUACAUGGUAG